CCGGCAUGCCCCGGGGCGGCGGGGUUGGCUCUAACGAAUUUGAAUGAAGAGCCUCAGCGCUUUCGGCGCCAUUUUCGAGUGAUGCCUGAUCUCAUCAAUCUAGCGGGAGAGACGGGAUAACCUGUCUGAAAGUAUAGUGCCACUAGCGCUCCGCCGAAAAACCACUAAAAAAAAAAAAAUCACCAAAAAUAACUUGGAGCAAAAGACAAUCCGCGAAGCUUCGCCAGGGUUGACGCAGUGGGUUUUGACCUUUAGGAGAGAGCCAAUUCUGGAAAACAACCUAACUUCUUUGAUUGAAUACACACAUAAUGCUUUGGAACAUGAUAGGAGAUUAAGGUUUAAUAAUGACAAAAUGAAGACCACAAUAAAACAGCCCCCUACUAGCCCAGGAAUUCUUACUUUGUGUGAAUUUUGAUACCACAACUGCCCAAAAAAAGGUCCUAGUUUACAUGUGACUUACGUGCCUGGUCUGCUGCCUUUUAACUGACUCCUAAAUCAUGAGUAGAUUUUACAUUAUGAAACUUGAUGCUACAAUCAAUUUCCUCAGCAAACAGGAGGUUUAGAAUGCUCUUAGCAAAUCUGUUGUUACUCCACCACAGUCUCUGGUAAUGUAUAUCUCUGUUAUUUAUGAUAGAAAAUCAGUACAAAAGCUUAUAAAGCAAAGUUGAAGUUUGUUAGACGUAAAUGGUAUAUAAAAAUAAUUGGAAACAGAUAUGAUUCCCUAAACCACAUAUUUCUCAAGCUGCUUUCUUUCAACCAGUCUCCUAAUUUCACAGCUGCCCAAAUUAUUUCUGCCUUUGCCGUAACCUAAUUGUGACUUACAAAUUAAACUCAAGAGUAAAAUUCAGCAAUAGGUCUUCUUUUCAGAAAAUCUUUAGGAAGAACAUCCAAUCACAAAUUAUUGAGGCUCAAGAAUCAUAAGCUAGCCAGCUGUGGCAGCACAGGCCUGUAAUCUCAGUGGCUCAGGAGGCUGAGGCAGGAGGAUCUCAGUUCAAAACCAGCCUCAACAAUUUAGCAAGGUUCUCAGCAACUUAGACCCUGUCUCAAAAUAAAACAAAAAAGGCUGGGGAUGUGGCUUAGUGGUUAAGCACUCCUGGUUUUAAUCCCCAGUAUAAAAAAAAAGAAUCAUAAACCAAAGUCUUUAGUGCCUUGUCAGAAAUGAAACUGCAGGUGAUGGAAGGAAGCUGACACAAAUAUAACAAGUGGAAGAACAGAGGAAGCCCAACUAUCAAGGAUACCAUUAUGACUAAUAAAACUAGGAAUCCAAGAUGAUUUACACCUGUAAUCCUAGCUACUUGGGAGACUAAGGGAGGAACACUGCAAGUUUGAGGUCAGCCUGUCUUAAAGUGAAAUUUAAACAAGGAAAGGGCUCAGUAGUAAAGCACUUGCCUAGUAUGUGCAAACCCUGGGUUUGAUCCCCAGCAACACCAAAAAAAAAAAAAAAAAAAUAGACUGACAAAUCUUUACAUGUCAUUGUGAUGAUAUACACUUGUGUGUUCAAAGUGGAAUGAUAGGUUUUUAUGAUGCUAGAACAAGGUUUUUAGUGUGGAUGGCCAAGACAAGCUUUUGCCAUUAUUUUCUUAUAACUUAAAAUAGAUUAAGGGGCUGGAGUUGUGGCUCAGUGGAAGAGUGCUCGCCUAGCAUGCACGAGGCACUGGGUUCAAUCCUCGGCACCAAAUAGUAUAGAAAUAAAGAUAUUGUAUCCACCUAAAAAUAAAUAUUUAAAAAAUUUUUAAAAAUAGAUUAAGAGUUAAUCGGUGCCUAUAUGAAAAUGUCAGUCUCCCCUCUCCCCCAAACAGGCAAAGAGUUUCAUUAGCCUGGUGGUGCAUCUAACUUAUCCCUAUUUUCUUCAGACUACAUUUGCCUGCCUCCCUUCCUAAAACAACACUCAUUUGGGGUGUGGGAGGCAUGUCUAGACAUUCCAGUUAUAGUGUCCCAUUUUAGUUUGGAGUGAACAUAAAGGCUUACUGAGAUAUUAACAGGUGGGUCUCUAGGUAAGAUAAUCUCUGAAGUAUUUACUAAAAUAAGAAACUCUUCAUGGGGCUGGGGUUGUGGCUCAGUGGUAGAGCACUUGCCUCACUUGUGUGAGGCACUGGGUUUGAUCCUCAGCACCACAUAAAAAAAUGUAUAAAACAAAGAUAUAUAAAAGAAGUUCUUCCUACUCAAAAAUAAAUUUUCUCUAAUAAAUAAUAAUUUUUAAUUGUGGUAAUCUCUCCCCAAAAUCUCUGCACUAUGAACUCAUAACCUUGGAGAAACUAUUUCAGAGACUUAGGUUAUUUUAAUUUAAACCCAUUGUCAAUAUUAUAAUUGUAUUUAUGGUAAGUUCUAGAGGUGCAAGAACUUUUUUGUUCUGUGUAGUAAAAAUCUCAAGAAUAGUAUUUGGCACAUAGUAGAUGUCAACAAACAUUUAUUGUAUGAACGUUAUGUAUGAUUCUAUAGGUAAUAUAUUUCUAUUAGUUCAUUAAAAACAUUUAUUUCUAAUCUCAAAAUUGUUUCCUGCAAAUGCAAAUGACUAAGAACAUAUUAAAAGCUGCUUAAACAUUUCCUGUUUUAUUCCUUGCCAAACUAUAGUUAGAAUAUUGUUUGCUUCGGUAUUUUUUUUAACUACUUAUCAGUUAAUGGUUUUAUCAGCAAAGUACUAUACAGAAUUAAAUAGUGUUUAUGUAUAACUAUGCCAAUUACACCCAACUAGUUAAAUCACAUGCAUGGCAAAAAUAUAUAUAGCGAAACAAAAAUACUGUGCCUACCGUAUAAUGCUAAUAUGGGAACUAUACCAAACACAUCACCCCCAAAACAACUAGGUUGACUUUUCUGCAGAAAACAAAAGGUAAGGGCUGCAAAAAAGAAAGACCAAAAAAAAAAAAAAGAAUAAUAAAAACUUAUUCUAAGGGAAUUUCUUCUUAUAUAAACCAUUAUUUUCAGUUAUUUUCCCUAAAAUUACUAAUAUUAAAAGUAUGCUUUUUCACGAUACAUAACCCUUUUUUUCUUCUUGGUUGGUACUGCAGAUCAAACCCAGGGGUGCCCAUCCCCACACCAGCUAUAUCCCUCAGCCCUUUUUAUUUUUCCUUUUGAGACAAAGUCUCUAUAAGUUGCCCAUGUUGGCCUUAACCUUGCAAUCUUCCUGCCUCUCAGCCUUCUGAGUCACUGGGAUUAUAAGCAUAUACCACCACCACAUCUGACUUCUACUUAAUCUUUUGAAGUACUCUUAAAGAGUUUUUAAAAUUUUUCCCUACAACCCAGAACACAGAAAUCUAUAAGUAACCACUAGAAAUGUCAAUUUUACUAAGUGGAAGUAUAUCACAAGAAGGGUGGGGCUGGGGAUGUGGCUCAAGCGGUAGCGUGCUCGCCUGGCAUGUGCGUGGCACUGGGUUUGAUCCUCAGCACCACAUACAAAUAAAGGUGUUGUGCCCGCCAAAGCUAAAAAAUAAAUAUUAAAAAGUUCUCUCUCUCUCUCUUUAAAAAAAAAAAAGAAGGGUGGUUGAGCAAAAUUUGUGUCGGUAUGAGAGAAAAUAGAUCAAACUAUACUGAAAUAAAUCCUCCUAAUCCCUGAUAAACACACUAUCUUUCAGGUGUGGUUUCUUCCUUUUUUUCCCCCUUCUUCUUAAAUACAUUUAUAUCCAUGUAAUCUGGUAAAAAUUAAGUCUUCCUCCCCACUAAAUCCCACUCAACCAUUUUCAUCUCCAAAGGCAACCUGUAUCUUUGCUGAAAAUUACAUGUAUUUAUUUUUUUAAAGUAUAUGUCUUUUACAUAAAUGGAAACUGCAUAUAUUUUUUUUUCUAGUUCGUGCAUUGUUUUGCACCUUGCUUUUGCUCCCACUGGUAACAUAUUUUGACAUUCCUUCCUUAUCAGCUUAUAAACCACUACUUCAUUCUUUUUAAUAACUGCAUAUUUCAUUGUAUGAAUCAUAAGUUACCUGUUCCAUAUUGAUGAACUUUGAGCUUAUUUCUAACCUUUUGCUAUUAGCAUAAUAUGCUUUCUUACUUGAACGUAAGCUACUUGAGAAUAAGAAUUUAUGUCUCUUUUUUACAGUACUGAGGAGGAAGCCCACCCAGGGUCUUGCACAUGCUAGGCAAGAGCUCUACCAUUGAGCUACAUCUGCCUUUUCUGAAAUAAGCUCUUGCUAAGUUUCUUAGGGCCUUGCUAAAUUGCUGAGGCUUGA